UAGGCCAACAAUGUAAUAACAGAAAAAGGCUCAGAAAACAAAAAACAAAAAAUAAAGAAAAAGGAAACCUAAUUCCUAAUCCAGUCAACAUCAACAGUUGGAUUCCAUAAAUUUGUUGCCUCUUCACAUCUCUGUCCCAGCAGUUCAAACCACAAUAGUUUCCAAAUAUUUUUUUUCUUCUGCAAUCUAUUUUCUUUGUAGUUCUUCCAUGAAACCGCCUCAAUCUAGGUGUCUCGGUCAUCUUUCUUCCAGUGCACGACAGACGUAAUCCGGUACAGCUCCCACAGGUACUUUCCCUCUCCCUUUUUCAACACUUCGUGCACAAGAUUAUGGGCACAUUUAUUUUCUGAUCUAUGAACUGGAAAUCAAUCUCUUCAAAAUGGACCUUUUUGCUUUGAAUAUCUCUAAUAACUGUUCUUGAAUCCCCCAUAAUUGCUAAUGAAUUAAAUCCCAUUGAGAUUCCUAAUUGAACAACUUGCAAACCUGCAUGUGCUUCUGCCGCAAACGGAGAUGAGAUUGCGCUAUGUAUGACUAUCUUCGAGGCUAAAAUCUUGCCCAUCAAGCCCCGAACCACUAGUCUUGAAGCCAAUUUGGAAGAUCAUCUGUCAAAGGCUGUAUCAAAAUAAAUUGUCACCCUCAUAUUUCCUUCAGGUUGUCUGUGCCCUCUAUCAACACUUAAGGGCAGUGUCGAAAAAUGUGAUUGCUGUCCUCUUCCGAACUGCGACACCGGGGACAAGAAACAUUCACUAACACUCUUUUAUGCCUGAAAUUUAUUAGAGUAGGAAUAUAGUUCCAAGAGAUUUUCUAUAUAGUGAGUGUAAUUUUUGAAGGAAGAUGUAAAUUCCAUAGUUUCUUGUAAAAAUCCUUAAUCUCGGUCUGUAUUAAAUUAUCACUAAGACCCAAAUUAGUUUAUUGUAAUAGUUUAUGACGCUUUUGACUGAGAAUUCGCCAAAAGGUUCUCCUCUCCAAACUUGGAAAUCGUCUUGUGCUGCUUUCACCAAAUGAAUUUGCAAAAUUUUCUGUGGAAUGUCCGCAUGAAAGGUAUUAGCGAUUAA